rnacentral:rRNA from 3 species
GGUUAAGAUCCCAGGAAGACUACCUGGUUGAUAGGUCAGAGGUGUAAGUGCAGCAAUGUAUGUAGCUUACUGAUACUAAUAGAUCGAGGACUUGACCAA